rnacentral:rRNA from 1 species
GAAUUGUUCGCAAUGGGCGCAAGCCUGAUGCAGCAACGCCGCGUGCAUGAUGAAGGCCUUCGGGUCGUAAAAUGCUUUUCUGACUGAAGAGGAAGGACAGUAAGUAAGGAAUAAGUGUCGGCUAACUACGUGCCAGCAGCCGCGGUAAAACGUAGGACGCAAGCGUUAUCCGGAGUUACUGGGCGUAAAGCGCGGGCAGGCGGCCUCGCAAGUCUGAUGUGAAAGCACUCUGCUCAACAGAGUGAUGCCAUUGGAAACUACGAGGCUGGAGUCUGGCAGAGGUAGGCGGAAUUCCGGGUGGAGUGGUGAAAUGCGUAGAGAUCCGGAGGAACACCAGAGGCGAAGGCGGCCUACUGGGCCAGUACUGACGCUGAGCCGCGAAAGCCAGGGGAGCGAAC